GACGAACGCUGGCGGCGUGCUUAACACAUGCAAGUCGAGCGGUAAGGCCCUUUCGGGGGUACGACGAGCGGCGAACGGGUGAGUAACACGUGGGUGACCUGCCCUCAGCUCUGGGAUAAGCCUGGGAAACCGGGUCUAAUACUGGAUAUGACUCCAUGACGCAUGUUGUGGGGUGGAAAGCCUUGUGCGGCUGAGGAUGGGCCCGCGGCCUAUCAGCUUGUUGGUGGGGUGAGGCCUACCAAGGCGACGACGGGUAGCCGGCCUGAGAGGGCGACCGGCCACACUGGGACUGAGACGCGGCCCAGACUCCUACGGGAGGCAGCAGUGGGGAAUCUUGCGCAAUGGGCGAAAGCCUGACGCAGCGACGCCGCGUGAGGGAUGACGGCCU
rnacentral:rRNA from 1 species